rnacentral:rRNA from 1 species
AACGAACGCUGGCGGCAUGCCUAACACAUGCAAGUCGAACGAGACCUUCGGGUCUAGUGGCGCACGGGUGCGUAACGCGUGGGAACCUGCCCUUAGGUUCGGAAUAACUCCCCGAAAGGGGUGCUAAUACCGGAUAAUGUCUUCGGACCAAAGAUUUAUCGCCUUUGGAUGGGCCCGCGUUGGAUUAGCUAGUUGGUAGGGUAAAAGCCUACCAAGGCGACGAUCCAUAGCUGGUCUGAGAGGAUGAUCAGCCACACUGGGACUGGGACACGGCCCAGACUCCUACGGGAAGCAGCAGUGGGGAAUAUUGGACGAUGGGCGAAAGCCUGAUCCAGCAAGGCCGCGUGAGUGAUGAAGGCCUUAGGGUUGUAAAGCCCUUUUACCCGGGAUGAUAAUGACAGUACCGGGAGAAUAAGCUCCGGCUAACUACGUG